rnacentral:rRNA from 1 species
UUGCAUAUCCAAAAGCGGAGGAAAAGAAACCAACUGGGAUUACCUUAGUAACGGCGAGUGAAGCGGUAAAAGCUCAAAUUUGAAAUCUGGUACUUUCAGUGCCCGAGUUGUAAUUUGUAGAAUUUGUCUUUGAUUAGGUCCUUGUCUAUGUUCCUUGGAACAGGACGUCAUAGAGGGUGAGAAUCCCGUUUGGCGAGGAUACCUUUUCUCUGUAAGACUUUUUCGAAGAGUCGAGUUGUUUGGGAAUGCAGCUCAAAGUGGGUGGUAAAUUCCAUCUAAAGCUAAAUAUUGGCGAGAGACCGAUAGCGAACAAGUACAGUGAUGGAAAGAUGAAAAGAACUUUGAAAAGAGAGUGAAAAAGUACGUGAAAUUGUUGAAAGGGAAGGGCAUUUGAUCAGACAUGGUGUUUUUUGCAUGCACUCGCCUCUCGUGGGCUUGGGCCUCUCAAAAAUUUCACUGGGCCAACAUCAAUUCUGGCAGUAGGAUAAAUCAUUAAGAAUGUAGCUACCUCGGUAGUGUUAUAGCUUAUUGGAAUACUGCUAGCUGGGAUUGAGGACUGCGCUUCGGCAAGGAUGUGC